GUGGGGAAUAUUGGACAAUGGGGGGAACCCUGAUCCAGCCAUGCCGCGUGUGUGAAGAAGGCCUUUUGGUUGUAAAGCACUUUAAGCGAGGAGGAGGCUACCGAGAUUAAUACUCUUGGAUAGUGGACGUUACUCGCAGAAUAAGCACCGGCUAACUCUGUGCCAGCAGCCGCGGUAAUACAGAGGGUGCAAGCGUUAAUCGGAUUUACUGGGCGUAAAGCGCGCGUAGGUGGCCAAUUAAGUCAAAUUUGAAAUCCCCGAGCUUAACUUGGGAAUUGCAUUCGAUACUGGUUGGCUAGAGUAUGGGAGAGGAUGGUAGAAUUCCAGGUGUAGCGGUGAAAUGCGUAGAGAUCUGGAGGAAUACCGAUGGCGAAGGCAGCCAUCUGGCCUAAUACUGACACUGAGGUGCGAAAGCAUGGGGAGCAAACAGGAUUAGAUACCCUGGUAGUCC
rnacentral:rRNA from 1 species